UACGGAGGGAGCUAGCGUUGUUCGGAAUUACUGGGCGUAAAGCGCACGUAGGCGGCUUUGUAAGUUAGAGGUGAAAGCCCGGGGCUCAACCCCGGAAUUGCCUUUAAGACUGCAUCGCUUGAAUCCAGGAGAGGUGAGUGGAAUUCCGAGUGUAGAGGUGAAAUUCGUAGAUAUUCGGAAGGAACACCAGUGGCGAAGGCGGCUCACUGGACUGGUAGUUGA
rnacentral:rRNA from 1 species